rnacentral:rRNA from 1 species
GGUUAAGCGACUAAGCGUACACGGUGGAUGCCCUGGCAGUCAGAGGCGAUGAAGGGCGUGCUAAUCUGCGAUAAGCGCCGGUAAGGUGAUAUGAACCGUUAUAACCGGCGAUACCCGAAUGGGGAAACCCAGUGUGACUCGUCACACUAUCAUUAACUGAAUCCAUAGGUUAAUGAGGCGAACCGGGGGAACUGAAACAUCUAAGUACCCCGAGGAAAAGAAAUCAACCGAGAUUCCCCCAGUAGCGGCGAGCGAACGGGGAGGAGCCCAGAGCCUGAAUCAGCAUGUGUGUUAGUGGAAGCGUCUGGAAAGGCGCGCGAUACAGGGUGACAGCCCCGUACACAAAAGCGCAUGUGCUGUGAGCUCGAUGAGUAGGGCGGGACACGUGGUAUCCUGUCUGAAUAUGGGGGGACCAUCCUCCAAGGCUAAAUACUCCUGACUGACCGAUAGUGAACCAGUACCGUGAGGGAAAGGCGAAAAGAACCCCGGCGAGGGGAGUGAAAAAGAACCUGAAACCGUGUACGUACAAGCAGUGGGAGCACAGGUUUACCUGUGUGACUGCGUACCUUUUGUAUAAUGGGUCAGCGACUUAUAUUCUGUAGCAAGGUUAACCGAAUAGGGGAGCCGGAGGGAAACCGAGUCUUAA